CUCUUGGUGGUUUCACAGAGCAUUGGUCUCAGACUGAAUAAAUCCCAGAUUGCUUGGCGCAUACAGCAGCUGGUUACCGUCCAAUGGAUUCGGCUGCCUGAGUCUGAGCUGGUCCUGAGAGGUGAGGGCAGGAAACUGGGCCUUCCUCAGACCCAAUAACACUUUCUGUGUGUGUUUAGGGGCAGGGCGAACGGUCAGCUGUAUGAAGUCGACCUCCAGCUUCAGGCCAACAUCUCUGCUGAAAGCUGCUGCUGGGAAAUGAAGUGUAAUGAGCCGGUCCUCAAACUGGUAAAACAACAGCACGGACACUGGGAAAAACUCCUGAGGAACAAGAAUGUUUUGGUGACUUAUGACAUGGAGCAUUUAGAAGAGGAUGAAAACAGAGCGCCACCUGCCUCAGUGCAGUGGUUUGUGGGAGACACAGGAGAAGAUCACUGGUUUGUGGACUCGGAGAGCAGGAGCGACACUGAUGAUUAGAGAUGAUGAAGCUUGGAGACAUACACCACGACUUUGACGUCUCAUUUGUUAAUGAGAUAACGAGUUU
rnacentral:lncRNA from 1 species